UUCGGAUUGUAGGCUGAAACUCGCCUACAUGAAGCUGGAGUUACUAGUAAUCGCAGAUCAGAAUGCUGCGGUGAAUGCGUUCCCGGGUCUUGUACACACCGCCCGUCACACCACGGAAGUUGGGGGCGCCCGAAGCCACUUAGCUAACCCUUUUGGGAAGCGAGUGUCGAAGGUGAAAUCAAUAACUGGGGUGAAGUCGUAACAAGGUAAC
rnacentral:rRNA from 1 species